rnacentral:rRNA from 1 species
GAUGAACGCUGGCGGCGUGCCUAAUACAUGCAAGUCGAGCGAACAGACGAGGAGCUUGCUCCUCUGACGUUAGCGGCGGACGGGUGAGUAACACGUGGAUAACCUACCUAUAAGACUGGGAUAACUUCGGGAAACCGGAGCUAAUACCGGAUAAUAUAUUGAACCGCAUGGUUCAAUAGUGAAAGACGGUUUUGCUGUCACUUAUAGAUGGAUCCGCGCCGCAUUAGCUAGUUGGUAAGGUAACGGCUUACCAAGGCAACGAUGCGUAGCCGACCUGAGAGGGGGAACGGCCACACUGGAACUGAGACACGGCCCAGACCCCUAGGGGAGGCAGCAGUAGGGAAUUUUCCGCAAUGGGCGAAAGCCUGACGGAGCAACGCCGCGUGAGUGAUGAAGGGCUUCGGAUCGUAAAACUCUGUUAUUGGGGAAGAAAAAAUGUGUAAGUAACUAUGCACGUUUUGACGGUACCUAAGCAGAAAGCCACGGCUAACUACGU